ACGGCUCACCAAGGCGACGAUCGGUAGCUGGUCUGAGAGGAUGACCAGCCUCACUGGGACUGAGACACGGCCCAGACUCCUACGGGAGGCAGCAGUGGGGAAUAUUGGACAAUGGGCGCAAGCCUGAUCCAGCCAUGCCGCGUGGGUGAUGAAGGCCCUAGGGUUGUAAAGCCCUUUCAGCGGGGAAGAUAAUGACGGUACCCGCAGAAGAAGCCCCGGCUAACUUCGUGCCAGCAGCCGCGGUAAUACGAAGGGGGCUAGCGUUGCUCGGAAUUACUGGGCGUAAAGCGCACGUA
rnacentral:rRNA from 1 species